UACAGAGGUCUCAAGCGUUGUUCGGAUUCAUUGGGCGUAAAGAGCUCGUAGGCGGUGUGUCGCGUCGGUCGUGAAAACUUGGGGCUUAACUCUGAGCUUGCGGUCGAUACGGGCAUCACUGGAGUUCGGCAGGGGAGACUGGAAUUCCUGGUGUAGCGGUGAAAUGCGCAGAUAUCAGGAGGAACACCGGUGGCGAAGGCGGGUCUCUGGGCCGAUACUGACGCUGAGGAGCGAAAGCGUGGGGAGCGAACAGG
rnacentral:rRNA from 1 species